rnacentral:piRNA from 1 species
UGUGGAAGGCCCGCUCGAGGCUGUUGUGC